ACCCCACCCCCGAUUCGAGCAACCGCUCUUCCCACCGAUGGAUCCGCCGCCUCCCCGCCGCUGGCCCGCAUCCUCCGCCACGCCAUCCUCCGCCGCGCCGUCCUCACCGCACACUGGCCUGCCUCCUCUCCGCCGCGCCUCCUCCCCGCGUUGUCCGAGUCGUCCGCGCGCUAUUCGGCGACGCCGAGGCACAGGCCGCCGCACUCCGGGUCGUGCCGGCCGGCUCGAGCGCACGCCGCCGACCGCGACCGGCUGCUCAACACGCUCCUCUCCGCCGCGGGCAACGGCCGGGAGGAGGAGGAAACGCGGGAGGCGGGGCAGCAUCAGAAUCAUCGCGCGUCGGAUCCAGCUGAUGCUUACGGCGACACAGACGCGGAGGCUCUGGCCGCGGCCGCCGUGCUCCCUCCGGUCAUCACCUUCCCGCGAGCUCACUUCCACCCUAGCCUCUCCCCCUUUCCUCUUUGUUUUUUUAACUGAUUCCCAACUGCUUGAUCAAUCCUGCUCCUCUGCUCCUGCAGGAUGGCUUUCUCUGUUCAAUUGUUUAAUUUGGUUGUCUUUGUCUUACCUGAACUGCAAGGGAACCAAUUUAUGUCAGCAAGGAAGGAAGUGUCACUAUUAAGCUUCCAGCAGUCUACAUGAGGUGGCAACCAAUGAUUGGGUUCGGGAUCAAGCGGCGUAUCCCCCUUAUUAUGGAACAGACACCGAGGCUUUCCCUUCCUUAUGUACGCAAUUAUCACGUAAGUGCCAUACUCUUCAGAUUAACAUUAGGACUCUUGCUCGGCCUGUUUCAUCACACGUAGCGAGCAAAUUUUGAAGCCAGUCUUCACCAGUAUAACUGAAUGCCUCCUCUGAUGGUAGCAACCAAUAUUUCCUAAGUUCACCCCUCAAGGCUCUCGCGUACUUGCAGGUAACAUCCUAUCCUGGCCGUGCACGAGUAAGUUCACAGGUGAUAAAACUACGUUAGUGAUUUCUCUGUUUACUUUAUGACCAACUGUGAUAUCACCAACUGUGAUCUUGGGCCAUGCAACUUGGAACAUCAAGUAAUAACUUCUUACUUUUUUUAGAGAAACUUCUUACAGAAUUGCAUGUUGUUAUUUGCACUCUGUCACCUGGAGACCUACUAAUGCACAUUGGGUUCACGAUGAUCUUGGGGCAAGACUUUAGAUGGAUGACAAGCAGAUGCAGUUACUUGCCUAUUUUAUUUGUAUAAUAGGAUGUUGUUACUUGCCUUCGAGUGUGUCAUUGUGGCGAUGUGUUCUUUUUUCUCUAUUAAUUGCCAGAGAGGCAAAGAUAGUUCAAGUUUCUUUGAUUCUAUAUUUGAUGAGUUUGUCCUGGAAUUCUAAAUCAUGCAAGUAUUUUAUCUGCUUGCGAUAGUACUGUUUGAAAAACACAGACACUAUUCCAUCUGCAUGGGUCUGAUCUGCAGUUGACCUCUUUUGAUCAGCAUAUUCCGCAAUGAGCAACGAAAAUCUCAUUGUUGAUAUUCCCAAACUCCUCAACACAUGUCACCUACCCUGCUUCCUACUUUCAACUUCCAAUGUAUUUUGUGAUUGAGAUUGUGCACAUGAGCUAUUUGUGAGAAUGUCAGCAAACGAUGGAACUAGAUUAUGCACGGCUUUCCGUUGGCUGAAUGGCUCUCACAUGUUCUACUGCUGCAAAUUUGUGUCAUCAAGGGUACCUCCUUCAGGCGUUUUAAAUAUACUUUUGAUAUUGCAUAUUAUGAUGAUUUUAUAACAGUGUACCUGCAAUUAGUUUGUAAUCAUCAUUUUCUGUUGCCGAGGGGUGUUCUCCAUUGGUGAUGAUCCAACAACUGAUGCUUCAUUUCCGGAUUAACAAGAAAGGUCAAACUGACUAAAAAAUUCCAUAAACUGCAUUUCCAGUGGGAGAGGGACGUAUAAGUGCGAGAGGUACCCGUUCAUCCAACGUCCUCUGCGUUGUUUGCUCUGGCUGUGCGCGUGCGCGCAAUUUGUGGCUGCCGCUUCCUUGCCAUUUUCCUUAUUUUUGUACCUGAGAGAUAAAUAAGGAAGCAAGGAGAGGCUAAUUAACUGGUGGGACAGUCAGGCGUUGAUGAAGAAUAUAGAGGUCUUGAAGAUCCAAGGUCCAAGAUGGCGGCUAGAGGCGAGGGGCCAAAAUGUUAUAUGUGAAGCCGCAAAAUGUUGUCAUGGCCUUUGAAGAGUAUAAUUUUUUGGAGUGCCUGAGCCAGAUUGGACUUAGCUACUAUAAGAAGGAAGGGGCCUCGGUCGAUAUCUCCAUCAAAUCCCGUCGGCAUUGCAACUUUCGACGACACGUCCAAUGUCGCUGCCGAGUUCGCAGGCGGAAGAAGAACAUCCGUCGAGCCGUCCAAUGUCGCCUGCGGCGGCUACACGAGAGGUGCCAAAGGCGUCCGAUCGAACUCAGUUGGAGGCCAAACAAGUUCGGCUCUUGGACAUGCCACCAAUAACGCUCGAUGACACGAUGCGCAUACUCCAGCUGCAAUGAAGUCCUCCAUAGAGAAGGAUUUGCAGAAAAUGAUCUUGGCAUCCUAGAUAAGCAGGUCGGGGUCAAAGCCGGUGCCCAGGGGGAUCAAUGGAUCACCAACACGAGAAACUGAAAUGGCAGGACCAGAAAAGAUGGUCCCAGAUCUCACUGCAGCCGGAUGUGCAAGAACACAUCAAUGAUCAUCUGUGAGACUGUGACACUGAAAUUUUGUCGAUGGAGCAUUAUCUCUACUAUUUAGCUUCUAGAGUCAAUGACUUGUACGUCCAACUAUAACAGCUAGCAGCAUGGUUUAUUCCCUUCUGGUUGUACGUACAAUGACUUUGUAAACCAAUGCUGCAAGUGUUUGUUGGGACAAGCCCAAA